UACGGGGGGGGCAAGCGUUGUUCGGAAUUACUGGGCGUAAAGGGCUCGUAGGUGGCCAACUAAGUCAGACGUGAAAUCCCUCGGCUUAACCGGGGAACUGCGUCUGAUACUGGAUGGCUUGAGUUCGGGAGAGGGAUGCGGAAUUCCAGGUGUAGCGGUGAAAUGCGUAGAUAUCCGGAGGAACACCGGUGGCGAAGGCGGCUUCCUGGACCGACAUUGACGCUGAGGCGCGAAAGCUAGGGGAGCAAACGGG
rnacentral:rRNA from 1 species